rnacentral:rRNA from 1 species
GGCGAACGCUGGCGGCGUGCUUAACACAUGCAAGUCGAACGGAAAGGCCUGCUUUCCCUUGUGGAUUGCGGGUACUCGAGUGGCGAACGGGUGAGUAACACGUGAGUGAUCUGCCCCCAACUUGGGUAUAAGCCUGGGAAACUGGGUCUAAUUCCCGAUAGGACUGCAGGGUGGUGCCUGUGGUGGAAAACGAUUUUCUAGUGGUUGGGGAUGAGCUCGCGGCCUAUCAGCUUGUUGGUGGGGUAAUGGCCUACCAAGGCGGCGACGGGUAGCCGGCCUGAGAGGGUGGACGGCCACAUUGGGACUGAGAUACGGCCCAGACUCCUACGGGAGGCAGCAGUGGGGAAUAUUGCACAAUGGGCGGAAGCCUGAUGCAGCGACGCCGCGUGGGGGAUGACGGCCUUCGGGUUGUAAACUCCUUUCGACCGCGAGGAAGCCACCUGGUUGGAAGGGUGGUGACGGUAGUGGUAGAAGAAGCACCGGCUAACUACGUG